GCCGGGAUGGCGGAAUUGGUAGACGCUGCGGACUUAAAAUCCGCCGGAAAACUCUUCCAUGCCGGUUCGAGUCCGGCUCUCGGCA
rnacentral:tRNA from 1 species